AUGGCCGGCCCAGCGGGGCAACGAUGUACGAUGUACGCGAAGGUGGUGGUUCAUCGAUGUGCGUACGUAUCCUUACAAGAUCAACGGGAUAGGAUGCUGUGGAUUGUUCUCUCCAGCUGUUCGAUUUGCACAUGCGACAAUCGAAGUGUGCCUAUGUUUGGCCGGCCCUGGCUGCCCGGUUCACAGAUAUACAGGUCGAAUUCUUCGUUCUUUAUUAUAGAUCGGUUCAUGUGCUUUGACUCGUGUCUGGGUCGGCGCAUCUAUUAUUUUCGGUCGCAAAUGUGCGCUAGCUCAUGCCUCUCUUGGGUGAUAUAA
rnacentral:rRNA from 1 species